rnacentral:lncRNA from 1 species
CACCAGUGAUGAAUCUUGUAUUGAAGAUGAUGAACUGGAGUCGUCGACCGAUGAUGAUAUCAAACGUACUUAAAAGAAGGUUUCAACUGGAUGCAGCAGUUCCACUCUAGAAAUGAACAAAUUGCCAGGGCAUUAACUCAACUUCUAACCAUUGCUUGAACUAUAUAGCCGAAAAAAAAUAUAAUGUAAAAGCCCGUAAAGGAAAAUUUCCCUUCUUGAAAGAAAAAAUACUGUUAAAAGAGGGGAAAUAGAUGUAGACAGGGCAUGGGAGAUCUUUCUCAACCUUCAACAUGACAGUAGAACCGUAUGUAGCAUUAUCGCCAGAAAGUGAUCUCGUCAUACAAGGGAUGGUGCAUAGGUUCUUGAUAACUCUGUAUGAUGUGCAUUCCACGUAACUCCGAUAUCAUUUGGAGUGACUUGCAUCCAGAAAUAUCCACUUGCCAGAGUGAGUUCGGCAGGUCUCCAAGCCCAAUUAGUUUCUCGCAGUCUCUCACGACCAAACAUUUCAAAUCCUUGCACAAUGACAAAUCUGGUAGAUACUCGAUGGACCUGCAUCUGGACA